CUUUUACUUCACUACAUUCCUAAAGAAAAUAAUGAACGUUUUACUCCAAUAUUUUUUCACUGACACCAAAAAGUACCAGUUAUAUUUUGAAUGUUUAUCAAGAGUGGAAAACGGUCCAGAGACAAUCCCUGGUCAUCCCAACUGCCUCUAAUCUGGCUGACUCACUAAACACAAAUAAAUUAUGUCUGAGUGUUGGAGUGUGCCCCUGGCUGUACAUUUUAAAAAACAUGAACAUUUGAGCAAUUUAAAAUAAUUUAUGCUUUUACUUUUGAUACUUAAGUAUAUUUUCACAAUUGCAUUUACUUUUGAUAGUUAAGUAUAUUUAAAAUCAAACAAUUUUAGAGGCUUACUUGUAGUAUUUUACAGUGAAACUUUCACUUUCUUUUGAGUCAUUUUCUACUUGGGUAUCUUUACUUUUACUCAAGUAUGAAAAUUGGGUACUUUUUCCACUACUGGCAGUAUGAAACAUGAGUGACCAAGUGGUCCAGCUCUCCUCAGCCUCCCACCAUGAAGACAUGAGUGACCAAGUGGUCCAGCUCUCCUCAGCCUCCCACCAUGAAGACAUGAGUGACCAAGUGGUCCAGCUCUCCUCAGCCUCCCACCAUGAAGACAUGAGUGACCAAGUGGUCCAGCUCUCCUCAGCCUCCCACCAUGAAGACAUGAGUGACCAAGUGGUCCAGCUCUCCUCAGCCUCCCACCAUGAAGACAUGCUUCAGUCAAUUCACCAGCUGAGACUGUACAGCCACCUGCGUGAUGUCACAGUCCAGGUGGGCUGGAGGAAUUUGAGGCUCACCAGGUGGUACGAGCUGCCUCCAGCGGCUACUUCAAGAACAUCCUACUGGCCCCGGAUCCACCUAAGAAACUAUUCCCGGGGAACGUCCGAAACACUGAUUAUACCUGGUUCUUGGAAUAUAUAUACACUGGCAAACUGGAGGUGGAUGAAAAGUUUGCUGAAGACAAGAUUGGCGUGUGAAGUGGCGACACUGUUCGAGUGUAAAAGCCCUUAUGGAGGCUUGCAGCUCGGUUCUCGAUGAAGGCAGCUCGAGUCCUCACGAGGCUAAAUCAUCCAUGUCACAAGACAUGGAGGCUGAUUUGGAUAAUGUAGAGGACGGGGUGCUGGGGGUCGGAGUAAACAAAAUUCCCAAAAGAGCCUCCACCAAGAGGCCGACCUAUCCAACAAGACCAGAGAGGACGUUGAAAAGGGCAACGGUCCCGGUCAAAGCCGAGGAGGAGAAAUCAGAGGUGAAUGAAGACGCUGAGAUCUCUGGGAGGAGAAGUAACAGGCUGGCAGGCCGCAGAGUCUUCGUUGACAUUCCUAAGUACAUGAGGAAGAUGAAGGACCAGACCAAGACGCAGACGGGAGGAUCUGCCUGACAACACUCAGACCAAGACAGCCGGUCAAGAGGAGAACACUGCGAAUACACAGAAGGGAGGCAGGAGAGGCCCUUCCAGAGCUGCUGCCUGAAAAAGAGGGGGCGGGGCUGAGGUCAACAGACUUCGAUGAUGUGGAAGGAGAUAUACCCGAGGAUUGUCCUGAUGACUCACUUUUCUUCCCCAGGAAGGAAGCGAUGGGACGAGCCACGGUGUGCAGGAGGAGGUGACAUACCGUUAUGACACCUGCCAGCAGAUUUUUGCCAACCUUUGAAACCCGAGGAUCCAUCAGAGACACGUCCACAGUGACGAGAGUGUACCCCUGCGACGUCUGCACCAAGACUUUCAAACGCAUGAAGGACGUGACGCGCCUCCAACGACAGGUGCAUUCGGGAGGCGGAGUGCGGCACACCGGUCUUGUAACAGGGCACUGAGCUCUAAGACAGCGUUGAGGUGGAGGGGGAGAGUGGAGUUGGAGGUAGGCCCCAGGACGGGGCCAUGUUGGUACAUGGUCAAUGAUCCAACACACCUCCAGGCUGUGUAAGGGCUAUUUGACGAAGGAG